GUGGGUGUGGCUUAGUGGUAGAGCGCAUACUUUGCACGUAUGAGGUUCCGGGUUCGAUUCCCGGUGCCUUCA